rnacentral:rRNA from 1 species
GGUCUGUCAAGUCGGAUGUGAAAUCCCCGGGCUCAACCUGGGAACUGCAUUCGAAACUGGCAGGCUUGAGUCUUGUAGAGGGGGGUAGAAUUCCAGGUGUAGCGGUGAAAUGCGUAGAGAUCUGGAGGAAUACCGGUGGCGAAGGCGGCCCCCUGGACAAAGACUGACGCUCAGGUGCGAAAGCGUGGGGAGCAAACAGGAUUAGAUACCCUGGUAGUCCACGCCGUAAACGAUGUCUACUUGGAGGUUGUGCCCUUGAGGCGUGGCUUCCGGAG